UGGGGCGGCGGACCGUAUGCAGGUCCCCACGGUUGGGGCGACGGUGCGUACGUGGGUCCGUACGGGGGUGCCGGCCACCCGGGUGGCAGUGUGUAUGGAGGUGCCGGCGGUCGAGGUGGGGGACCGUUCGGAGGUCCCGGCGGCCCUGGCGGCGGUGCGUACGCGGGUGCGCACGGGGGUGCCGGCCACCCGGGUGGCAUUGUGUAUGGAGGUGCCGGCGGUCGGGCGGGGGACCGUUCGGAGGUCCCGGCGGCCCUGGCGGCGGGUGCGUACGCGGGUGCGCACGGGGGGUGCCGGCCAGCCGGGUGGCAGUGUGUAUGGAGGGUGCCGGCGGUCGAGGUGGGGGACCGUUCGGAGGUCCCGGCGGCCCUGGCGGCGGUGCGUACGCGGGUGCGCACGGGGGUGCCGGCCACCCGGGUGGCAUUGUGUAUGGAGGUGCCGGCGGUCCGGGCGGGGGACCGUUCGGAGGUCCCGGCGGCCCUGGCGGCGGCGCGUACGCGGGGUGCGCACGGGGGUGCCGGCCACCCGGGUGGCAUUGUGUAUGGAGGUGCCGGCGGUCGGGGUGGGGGACCGCUCGGAGGUCCCGGCGGCCCUGGCGGCGGAGCGGCGGCGGCGGGCCAGCAGCGGAGGCGGCACCGGCCACGGUGUGAGCUGCUUGGACGGACACCGGGCCAGUCCGGUUAUGGACCUUAUGGUGGCGCCGGAGGCCGCGGCGGCGGAAGGAACUGCUUAGAUGUGCGUUCGGGGCCCGCUGGUGUGAGCACGGUGCGAGCUCCCGCUGAUGCGAACACGGCGCAUGGAGCUGGCGGAGGUGCGCCAGGGGCUCCAGCGGGGUAUGCAGGAGCUGCGGGAGCGCCUGGGAAAGAGUGACCCCUGUUGGCAGGCUGAGAACACCCCGGUGCCACACAUGGUGUUGACAGUAUUUCUGCUGGCGUUCCAACCAUGCAUUAUUUAAAACAGAGCGCUAGCCAUCCGCUUUGGUGUAUGGGCGCGUAUAGUUUUAGAGACGAUGUACUGUGCCACCCUCCGGCUCUCUGUACGUCACUGAAGUCUGACGGUGCACUCUUCUCUGUUGUUGUUGGAUUGGUGGAAUGGCAUGGCUGACCGUCAAUAUCGUGAUCGCUUUCUGCACAUACACCGCGUAUGCCGUCUCAGUUCAGUGUAAAUGCACCUAAUACUUGCACUGUUGUAGACCUGACCAUCCCGCUGGCAAGCUUGCAAGCCGCAGAGGCACUUGAUGCGCAUCAAAUGGCCAUGCAGGCUGGUAAGACUGGCCUCGCGGUGUAUCGUGUACAUUAGAUACAAAAUAUAACGUAUUUGACUUUAGCUCAUUGCACACACAAGCGCACGAUGUGAAUGGCGCAAAGGCGAUGAAUAUCACGCCGAAUAUGUCCGAAAUGCUGGGAUUCACCGGCAGCUGGGAAAUCGGAAACGGCGACCAACAAAUCUGCUGUCAUAAGACAUACCUUGGUAUGAAAUAGCUAAUUUCAUAUCCUAUUCCUGCCAUAUUAACACGUCAUGCUUUGCACCUAUGUCGACCAAUCAACCAUCAGUACGCAAAAGCUGAACCUUGGAAAAGCAAAAACAAAAUACCAACCUUGAUGACCUUGGGAUGUCACAGCAUAAGAACACGUCACAGCCUUAGUGUGCCAGUAACGUGUCGGCAUUGUUCGAGCCUGCCGCGUAACGUCAUCGAUAUUGUUAUAUUCAUAAUUUAAGAUGAUCUAAUUCUGCUGUUUUAGUAUAAUGAGGGUUAUUUUCUCCUCCAAAGAAGAUGAUUCAUGUACAGUGUGUUUGUGCAAAGCCAAAUAAAACCCGUGGCAAAACAAGG